AACGACUCUCGGCAACGGAUAUCUCGGCUCACGCAUCGAUGAAGAACGUAGCAAAAUGCGAUACUUGGUGUGAAUUGCAGAAUCCCGUGAACCAUCGAGUUUUUGAACGCAAGUUGCGCCCGAAGCCUUUUGGUUGAGGGCACGUCUGCCUGGGCGUCACAC
rnacentral:rRNA from 3 species